rnacentral:rRNA from 1 species
ACAUGUCUUUUUGAGUAAAAUUUAAAGUCGGGCCUGCCCACUGAUAAUAUUAAAGGGCCGCGGUAUCCUGACCGUGCAAAGGUAGCAUAAUCAUUAGUCUUUUAAUUGAAGGCUAGAAUGAAUGGUUUGACGAAGUAGCAGCUGUCUCAGUAUGAGAUAUAAAAUUUAACUUUUGAGUUAAAAGGCUUAAAUUCAAAUAAAGGACGAGAAGACCCUAUAGAGUUUUAUAUAAUUUGUAAAUAGAUUCAAAUAGUAGUUGUGGUUUAUAUUUAUAAAUUUUAUUAGGUUGGGGUGACUUAAAGAUAAAAUUAACUCUUUAUUUUAAAUAACAUUGAUUUAUGAGUAACUGAUCCAUUAAUAAUGAUUAUAAGAUAAAAUUACCUUAGGGAUAACAGCGUAAUUUUUCUUGAGAGUUCUUAUCGACAGAAAAGUUUGCGACCUCGAUGUUGGACUAAGAAAAUGAUUUGAUGUAGCAGUUAAAUUAAUAAGUCUGUUCGACUUUUAAAUUCUUAC